AACCCAUUGAAAGGAGGUGAUCCAGUGUCAAGAAAGAUAGUGGAGAAGACAGUCGGGACAACUUGGGGGGUUCGCGUCUAGGGCAGCCCCUAAACGUCUGAUAACCUUAGGUUGAUGCGUCUAACCGACCUCACCUCCUGAUCCUUUCGGAAGGCCGCCCUCGCACUUUGGGGGCGGCCU
rnacentral:misc_RNA from 1 species